rnacentral:rRNA from 1 species
AUUGAACGCUGGCGGCAUGCUUUACACAUGCAAGUCGAACGGCAGCGCGGGGCAACCUGGCGGCGAGUGGCGAACGGGUGAGUAAUAUAUCGGAACGUACCCAGAAGUGGGGGAUAACGUAGCGAAAGUUACGCUAAUACCGCAUACGAUCUACGGAUGAAAGUGGGGGACCUUCGGGCCUCAUGCUUUUGGAGCGGCCGAUAUCUGAUUAGCUAGUUGGUGAGGUAAAGGCUCACCAAGGCGACGAUCAGUAGCUGGUCUGAGAGGACGACCAGCCACACUGGGACUGAGACACGGCCCAGACUCCUACGGGAGGCAGCAGUGGGGAAUUUUGGACAAUGGGCGCAAGCCUGAUCCAGCAAUGCCGCGUGAGUGAAGAAGGCCUUCGGGUUGUAAGGCUCUUUUGUCAGGGAAGAAACGGCCGAGGAUAAUACCUUCGGCUAAUGACGGUACCUGAAGAAUAAGCACCGGCUAACUACGUGCCAGCAGCCGCGGUAA